rnacentral:rRNA from 1 species
AACGAACGCUGGCGGCAGGCCUAACACAUGCAAGUCGAACGAGAAGCUAUCCUUCGGGGUAGUGGAAAGUGGCAAGCGGGUGAGUAACGCGUGGGAACCUUCCCUGUGGUACGGAAUAGCUCCGGGAAACUGGAAUUAAUACCGUAUACGCCCUUUUGGGGAAAGAUUUAUCGCCAUAGGAUGGGCCCGCGUCGGAUUAGCUUGUUGGUAGGGUAAUGGCCUACCAAGGCAACGAUCCGUAGCUGGUCUUAGAGGAUGAUCAGCCACACUGGGACUGAGACACGGCCCAGACUCCUACGGGAGGCAGCAGUGGGGAAUAUUGGACAAUGGGCGAAAGCCUGAUCCAGCCAUGCCGCGUGAGUGACGAAGGCCUUAGGGUUGUAAACUCUUUUGGCGGGGACGAUAAUGACGGUACCCGCAGAAUAAGCCCCGGCUAACUUCGUG